GAAGGCCCGUCCGCGUAUAUCGCCUCAAGGAGCGCGACCUCUGGGUCCUGCCCACCGUCUGUCACCGUUGCGCGCCAUCUAUGCUGUACGCGCAGCUCGCUCUCAUCUUCAGCUGAUGUUGUUGUUGCUGACCUGAAUGCCCGUAGCACGUACCCACAACGGGGCAGUGAGAAUACGCAAGUUUAUGGGAGCCUGUUUCAAAGUGCUCUCCUCUGGAAGCAACGCGGCUGCAGCAAAGUUUCAUGCGCAGACGGCUGUGUUCCUGCGGUCCUUUUACUUGAACGGCCAGGCCAAUUCGUUCAUCUUCCUAGACGUGCACCGUUGUCACCCAAACCUGGUGGCAAAACGACGCGAAGAGAGA